GGCGGACGGGUGAGUAACGCGUGGGUAACCUACCCUGUACAGGGGGAGUAACAGUCAGAAAUGACUGCUAAUACCGCAUAAGCGCACAGGAUUGCAUGAUCUGGUGUGAAAAACUCCGGUGGUAUAAGAUGGACCCGCGUCUGAUUAGCCAGUUGGUGGGGUAACGGCCUACCAAAGCGACGAUCAGUAGCCGACCUGAGAGGGUGACCGGCCACAUUGGGACUGAGACACGGCCCAAACUCCUACGGGAGGCAGCAUG
rnacentral:rRNA from 1 species